rnacentral:tRNA from 1 species
UCCGGGGUAGCUCAAUUGGCAGAGCAGCGGACUGUUAAUCCGUUGGUUGGGAGUUCGAGUCUCCCCCCCGGAG